rnacentral:rRNA from 1 species
AGAUUGAACGCUAGCGGGAUGCUUUACACAUGCAAGUCGAACGGCAGCGCAGACUUCGGUCUGGCGGCGAGUGGCGAACGGGUGAGUAAUAUAUCGGAACGUGCCCAGUAGCGGGGGAUAACUACGCGAAAGCGUGGCUAAUACCGCAUACGCCCUACGGGGGAAAGGGGGGAUCGCAAGACCUCUCACUAUUGGAGCGGCCGAUAUCAGAUUAGCUAGUUGGUGAGGUAAAGGCUCACCAAGGCGACGAUCUGUAGCUGGUUUGAGAGGACGACCAGCCACACUGGGACUGAGACACGGCCCAGACUCCUACGGGAGCAGCAGUGGGAAUUUGGACAAUAGGGGGAAACCUGAUCCAGCC